GGUUANUUCCGUUAACGAGCGAGACCUGGGCGUGCUAAAUAGGGGCUACUACCGUUUUUGGUAGUACGUUACUCCUUCUUAGACGGACUGCGGGCGUCUAGUCCGCGGAAGCUCCAGGCAAUAACAGGUCUGAGAUGCCCUUAGAUGUUCUGGGCCGCASGCGUGCUACACUGAGUGGAUCASCGGGUCAGGUUGCACGAAAGUGUUUCCUAAUCUUGAAAUCSGCUCGUGAUGGGGAUUGAGGGUUGCARUUUUCCCUCA
rnacentral:rRNA from 1 species